CUCUCUGGUGAUUCAUGAUAACUUCUCGAAUCGCAUGGCCUUGUGCCGGCGAUGGUUCAUUCAAAUUUCUUCCCUAUCAACUUUCGAUGUUUGAGGUAGUGGCCAAACAUGGUUGCAACGGGUAACGGAGGGUUAGGGCUCGACCCCGGAGAAGGAGCCUGAGAAACGGCUACUACAUCCAAGGAAGGCAGCAGGCGCGCAAAUUACCCAAUCCCGACACGGGGAGGUAGUGACAAUAAAUACUGAUACAGGGCUCUUUUGGGUCUUGUAAUUGGAAUGAGUACAAUUUAAAUCCCUUAACGAGGAACAAUUGGAGGGCAAGUCUGGUGCCAGCAGCCGCGGUAAUUCCAGCUCCAAUAGCGUAUAUUAAAGUUGUUGUGGUUAAAAAGCUCGUAGUUGAACCUUGGGCCUGGCUGGCCGGUCCGCCUCACCGCGUGUACUGGUCCGGCCGGGCCUUUCCCUCUGUGGAACCCCAUGCCCUUCACUGGGUGUGGCGGGGAA
rnacentral:rRNA from 1 species